GUCAAUUUUUUUUUUAAUUACAUGAGACUAUUGCUCAAAUUACAUCAGAUUACAUGAGAUUAGUACACUGAUAUUUAUAAUAAGAUAAUUGUUGGGACUAAUUUAUAAAUCUUAUAUAAUACAGCCCAAAUUUUUACACCCUCUCUAAAAUUCGAGGGAUGUCCACUCACAUUUCUAAAUAGAGAAAACUGUCUUCACUCAAAUUGAAAAAGGAAAAUAAACCCCCACAAUUCGUUGCAGGAGCUAGAACCCAUGACCUCACAAUUGUGAGGUAUGAGUUCUAACCACUAAGAUAAAGCCUAGUGGUUCAAAGAUAGUCAAUUUAUGAGAGAAUAAUUCGAAAUUAAUCCUUUAUUUUUAUAUAAUCCGCUGCCUGCCAGAGUGCCAGUCAUUUCUUCCACCUUUUCUGCAUUCAAAUCUCAUCAUUGCACCAACUGAUUUGGGGAGGUGGAGGAGGAGGAGGAGGAGGAGGAGGAGGAGGAGGACAAUUUCUGUCAGUGACGACAAGUUCUUGAGGAUAUUAAUAAUUAAUUUCACCAUAUACAUGUCUGUAAAACUGUAAAUUCUUUCUUAAAUGCCACUACUUAAAUUAUCUUGGGAGCAUAUGCACAUG
rnacentral:lncRNA from 1 species